CGUGGAGCAUCCGCGCGUAUGUGUAUGCGUCAGCGGCCACCCUACACGCUGCAUCUUCAUGAAUACGCCUAUUAAAUCCAGACUUGCAGCAAGGCGUCGCCGCGGACUUUACUGAUCCAACGCUGCCGUGAUGGCCGCCACACUCCUCACGCGGACACCAUGGCCUGGACGCAGCAACGUGACACCACAUCACUACGCCUACACUAGAUUCAGCAAAGGAACUCCGGCCCAUCCAACUUUCAGUGCAGCCAUACAUCCUUCAGCCUUCUACACCACGCCGGCAAGCCGGAAAGUGCUACAACAGUGGCAGCGCUCUCCCAGGCACUUGGGCUGCCCACAACUCCUACAAAAUAAAUUGGCACAAGCUUACUCACAUAGAUUUGCAGAUCGGCGCGUGUUAAAAAUAUGUACAUGCAGAUGGAUCAUUCGCAGAUCAUCUUUAUCGGGAAGGACUACUUCUCAAGCGACUACUGCCUUUAUCAAGUAAAGGAUCUUUGUCAGCAGUACAUUCUUUGAACUUUAUUAGUUAUAUCAUCUCACUCUUCCUAUGUUGUAUUGUUUGUACAUAAUGAGUAUUGCUGCUCAAUGCAACCACUAGAAUGCAAUGAUUAGUAACUCUUCUUGCACUGUUGCAUCUAUAUGAUUGACCUUGUAUAUUCCGGGUUGACAUGCCAUUAUAUUUGACUGUACUGACAUUGAUGAUAUGCAUUUGAUGACAAUAGCAAAAUUAUAACCUAUUGGCAUGUAACAUUCUUUGAAAUGAUAUGACUAUGUUUUUUUUUCUUUUACAACUUGCUUACAGAUAUACUCCCCCUGUCCCUAAAUAUGUCUUUUUAGAGAUGUCAAUAUGAACUACAUACGGAUUUAUAUAGAUGUAUUUUAAAGUGUAGAUUCACUCAUUUUGCUCUGUAUAUAGUCCAUAUUGGAAUCUUUAAAAAGACUUGCAUUUAGGAACGGAGGAAGUACAUGUUUUCUGCUUAUGAUAAUUUGCCGGAGCAUUUAGGGGUAGUGAAUUAACCAGAAAACUGAACGUGCCCAAGUAAAAAAUAAUAUGAGAAGAAAAUUUAGUCUGAAUCAUCGUAGCCAUAAAUCUCACACUAUAGCUCUGCUGGAUAUAUUGCCGACACCCUCACCACUUCGCCCGCCCGCUGGAUAUAUUGCUACUCCUCUACGGAUGUCUUUCUUCUUUGUAGCUCUGUGUGCCAUGUCGGCGGCCAGGUUGACCGGUGGUGCCCAUGUCAUAUGGGUUGGGAUGUAUCGGUUUUAGCCCAGUUUUCCGUCAAUUAACCGUGCAAUUCUCUUCUUAAUCAAUGAAAAUGGCAAGUCUUUUGCCUUGUUUCAAAUGUUUUUUUACUCAGCCAUCAAAAAUGCCAAGCCUCAAAUCUGCAUUCAAAUUGCUAGGAAGCUUCUCCUAAUUUCUGACCACUCCUAAUUGGACUCAUACAACAAGUAUUAUAGUUCUUUCAUACAAGUUGAGUAUGAACAUACUGAUUUUGUACUAAUGGAGAUUGCCCUCAGCCAGUGAAAUAUCCAAUUUCUGGAUCACCUCAUUUCCCAAUUCUAAUCUAUCUAUAAUCUUUUUUGAGAUAUUAAGAUUGUAUCCAUGACAUGGGAAAUGUAAGUAGCAUGUUGUGACAUGCAUGGAUUUGCUUUUUCUAUCAAUGUUGAUGCUCCAACAUCUGAUCAAUGGUCCUUAUUUUAGAUUCUGUACUAUCAUUGUACAUAUUUGUUCCGUUAUAUAGUCAUUGUUGUUGUAAAUUGUUUAUCAUAAUACUGAUGAGGAAGAAUAAUCUAGAUGUAGUUCCGACAACGUCAAUGGAUCCUUCCCCGCUGCAUGGCUUGGCCGAAGUUGGGUGAAAGAGUUCAUGGGGCCAGAGAAAUAUGAGUUGGACGUCCGAACAAUGCUUUCAGGCGACAUUUGUUGUAGCCCCACAAGCUUAAAAUGAGAGUACAGUUGUGCCAAACAUUGUUACGUAUUUUGAUUUCUUUGUUGGUUCCUUUCAUGGCUAAAACAAUGGUAUGCCCCUUGCAACAUUUUUUUCGAUAUAUUUCUGUGCACUAUGCUAUUUCCGGAAAAAUCUUUAUAUACAUACUUGUGCUUUCACUUCAAAACUUGGA